rnacentral:rRNA from 1 species
UACGUAGGGGGCAAGCGUUGCCCGGAUUUACUGGGCGUAAAGAGCGUGUAGGCGGCCAAACAGGUCCGUUGUGAAAACUGGAGGCUCAACCUCCAGACGUCGACGGAAACCGUGUGGCUAGAGUCCGGAAGAGGAGAGUGGAAUUCCUGGUGUAGCGGUGAAAUGCGCAGAUAUCAGGAAGAACACCAAUGGCGAAGGCAGCUCUCUGGGACGGUACUGACGCUGAGACGCGAAAGCGUGGGGAGCGAACAGG